rnacentral:rRNA from 1 species
UUCUCCUACGGGAGGCAGCAGUGGGGGAUAUUGCACAAUGGGCGCAAGCCUGAUGCAGCGACGCCGCGUGAGCGAAGAAGUAUUUCGGUAUGUAAAGCUCUAUCAGCAGGGAAGAAAAUGACGGUACCUGACUAAGAAGCUCCGGCUAAAUACGUGCCAGCAGCCGCGGUAAUACGUAGGGGGCAAGCGUUAUCCGGAUUUACUGGGUGUAAAGGGAGCGUAGACGGCGGUGCAAGCCAGAUGUGAAAGCCCGGGGCUCAACCUCGGGACUGCAUUUGGAACUGUGCUGCU